rnacentral:rRNA from 1 species
UAAUUCUCUAGUGGCGCACGGGUGAGUAACACGUGAGUAACCUGCCCCCGAGAGCGGGAUAGCCCUGGGAAACUGGGAUUAAUACCGCAUAGUAUCGAAAGAUUAAAGCAGCAAUGCGCUUGGGGAUGGGCUCGCGGCCUAUUAGUUAGUUGGUGAGGUAACGGCUCACCAAGGCGAUGACGGGUAGCCGGUCUGAGAGGAUGUCCGGCCACACUGGAACUGAGACACGGUCCAGACACCUACGGAAGGCAGCAG